UUUAGCUCAAAAUAACCCUCUUGCCAAAAUGGAGUACUUCGAGGUGGCGUAUUCUGCUACUCUUCACUUCGCACCAGCAAAAGAUGAGGACUUGUCUCGAGAAAGGAGGAUUUACUUUCUAUCAGGGGACAAAGGCCACACCUUGGAAACCUUGCAGCCUGUAUGCAAAGCAUAGUCUAUAUGUGUGAACAGUACUUACAGAAAUAAGAGCAGAAGCCAGAACUCUGAAGGACCUUCACCUGCGGCCAUGGAAUGAACCGGUGCUGCAGAGGCUGCGGGCAGCCUGGUAGCCCAGCACUCAACCGCUGCGCCAUGCGCCACCAGGAGAGGCCCAGCUCCAUAUAACUUCUCAAGCUACACAUAAAAUAGAACUUAGAGAUCAAGUUUGAGUAACCAGAGGACAGAAACCAUGACUUAUUCAUCUCUCUUCUUUAUACCUACUAUAAAGACUUCAAUGCCUUUCCUUUAUAUAUAAUUUUAUUCAGCUUAAUCCAUCUCAUUUUUAUAAAUAAAGAA